GACGAACGCUGGCGGCGUGCCUAACACAUGCAAGUCGAACGGAGAUAUUUGAAAGAAGUUUUCGGAUGGAUUUUAAAUAUCUUAGUGGCGGACGGGCGAGUAACGCGUGAGCAACCUGCCCUUCAGUGGGGAAUAACGACCGGAAACGGGCGCUAAUACCGCAUAAAAUAUACAUUUGGCAUCGAAAGUAUAUCAAAGGAGCAAUUCGCUGAAGGAUGGGCUCGCGUCCGAUUAGCUGGUUGGUGAGGUAACGGCUCACCAAGGCGACGAUCGGUAGCCGAACUGAGAGGUUGAUCGGCCGCAUUGGGACUGAGACACGGCCCAGACUCCUACGGGAGGCAGCAGUGGGGGAUAUUGCACAAUGGAGGAAACUCUGAUGCAGCAACGCCGCGUGAGGGAAGAAGGUCUUCGGAUUGUAAACCUUAGUAGUCAGGGACGAAACAAAUGACGGUACCUGAAGAGUAAGCUCCGGCUAACUACGUGCCAGCAGCCGCGGUAAGAGU
rnacentral:rRNA from 1 species